rnacentral:rRNA from 1 species
GACGAACGCUGGCGGCGUGCUUGACACAUGCAAGUCGAACGGAAAGGCCUGCUUUCCCUUGUGGAUUGCGGGUACUCGAGUGGCGAACGGGUGAGUAACACGUGAGUGAUCUGCCCCCAACUUGGGUAUAAGCCUGGGAAACUGGGUCUAAUUCCCGAUAGGACUGCAGGGUGGUGCCUGUGGUGGAAAACGAUUUUCUAGUGGUUGGGGAUGAGCUCGCGGCCUAUCAGCUUGUUGGUGGGGUAAUGGCCUACCAAGGCGGCGACGGGUAGCCGGCCUGGGAGGGUGGACGGCCACAUUGGGACUGAGAUACGGCCCAGACUCCUACGGGAGGCAGCAGUGGGGAAGAUUGCACAAUGGGCGGAAGCCUGAUGCAGCGACGCCGCGUGGGGGAUGACGGCCUUCGGGUUGUAAACUCCUUUCGACCGCGAGGAAGCCACCUGGUUGGAAGGGUGGUGACGGUAGUGGUAGAAGAAGCACCGGCUAACUACGUG